rnacentral:rRNA from 1 species
UACGGAGGGGGCUAGCGUUGUUCGGAAUUACUGGGCGUAAAGCGCACGUAGGCGGCUUUGUAAGUUAGAGGUGAAAGCCCGGGGCUCAACUCCGGAAUUGCCUUUAAGACUGCAUCGCUAGAAUUGUGGAGAGGUAAGUGGAAUUCCGAGUGUAGAGGUGAAAUUCGUAGAUAUUCGGAAGAACACCAGUGGCGAAGGCGACUUACUGGACACCUAUUGACGCUGAGGUGCGAAAGCGUGGGGAGCAAACAGG